rnacentral:rRNA from 2 species
UGGGCGUAAGCGCGCGCAGGCGGUUUCUUAAGUCUGAUGUGAAAGCCCACGGCUCAACCGUGGAGGGUCAUUGGAAACUGGGGAACUUGAGUGCAUAAGAGAAAAGCGGAAUUCCACGUGUAGCGGUGAAAUGCGUAGAGAUGUGGAGGAACACCAGUGGCGAAGGCGGCUUUUUGGUCUGUAACUGACGCUGAGGCGCGAAAGCGUGGGGAGCAAACAGGAUUAGAUACCCUGGUAGUCCACGCCGUAAACGAUGAGUGCUAAGUGUUAGAGGGUUUCCGCCCUUUAGUGCUGCAGCUAACGCAUUAAGCACUCCGCCUGGGGAGUACGGUCGCAAGACUGAAACUCAAAGGAAUUGACGGGGGCCCGCACAAGCGGUGGAGCAUGUGGUUUAAUUCUUAUCAACGCGAAGAACCUUACCAGGUCUUGACGGGCGCUGACAACUCUAGAGAUAGAGCGUUCCCCUUCGGGGGACAGAGUGACAGGUGGUGCAUGGUUGUCGUCAGCUCGUGUCGUGAGAUGUCGGGUUAAGUCCCGC